rnacentral:rRNA from 1 species
CGUGUAGGCGGCUUGGUAAGUCAGAUGUGAAAGCCCAGGGCUCAACCCUGGAAGUGCAUUUGAUACUGCCAUGCUUGAGUAUGGGAGAGGAGAGCGGAAUUCCCAGUGUAGAGGUGAAAUUCGUAGAUAUUGGGAGGAACACCCGUGGCGAAGGCGGCUCUCUGGACCAAUACUGACGCUGAGACGCGAAAGCGUGAGGAGCAAACAGGAUUAGAUACCCUGGUAGUCC